CCGUGUAUAAGUUUCCUGGAAUGGAACGUCGUAGAGGGUGACAAUCCCGUCUUUGACACGGACUCCCAGGGCUAUGUGAUGCGCUCUCGACGAGUCGAGUUGUUUGGGAAUGCAGCUCAAAUAGGGUGGUAAAUUCCAUCUAAAGCUAAAUACAGGCGAGAGACCGAUAGCGAACAAGUACCGUGAGGGAAAGAUGAAAAGAACUUUGGAAAGAGAGUUAAACAGUACGUGAAAUUGCUGAAAGGGAAACGCUUGAUGUCAGUCGCAUCGUCCGGGGAUCAGCCUCGCUUUUUUGCUCGGCGUACUUCCUGGUCGAUGGGUCAGCAUCGGUUUCGACCGUCGGAAAAUGGCUCGAGGAACGUGGCACUCUUCGGGGUGUGUUAUAGACUCGGGUCGAAUACGACGGUCGGGACCGAGGAACUCAGCACGACCUUCGGGUUCGGGGCUUCGGCUCACGUUACCGUGCUUAGGAUGCUGGCAUAAUGGCCUUAAGCGACCCGUCUUGAAACACGGACCAAGGAGUCUAACUCGCGUGCGAGUGUUUGGGUGAUUAAAACCCGGGCGCGUAAUGAAAGUGAAAGUCGAGACCUCUGUCGUGGAGGGCACCGACGCCCGGACCAGAGCUUUUGCGAAGGAUCUGCGGUAGAGCACGCGUGUUGGGACCCGAAAGAUGGUGAACUAUGCCUGAAUAGGGUGAAGCCAGAGGAAACU
rnacentral:rRNA from 1 species